CUUGCUUUCUUUGCUGGCGACCGGCGCACGGGUGAGUAACACGUAUCCAACCUGCCCUUUACUCGGGGAUAGCCUUUCGAAAGAAAGAUUAAUACCCGAUAGCAUAAUGAUUCCGCAUGGUUUCAUUAUUAAAGGAUUCCGGUAAAGGAUGGGGAUGCGUUCCAUUAGGUUGUUGGUGGGGUAACGGCCCACCAAGCCUUCGAUGGAUAGGGGUUCCGAGAGGAAGGUCCCCCACAUUGGAACUGAGACACGGUCCAA
rnacentral:rRNA from 1 species